CUCUCUCUCUCUCUCUCUCUCUCUCUCAAAAAUAAAUAAACAUUAAAAAUUUUUUUCUUUUAAUUUUUUUCAGAUUAAUUACCCUGAAUUCUCACAAAUAAAGGCAUGAAGAUUAAAGAGAUUACAGGAUUCUAAUGAUAACCCCUGUUCAGAGGCCACGGAAGAUGGCAGAGGGCAGGUCCUGGUGCUCCAUGGCCCAGGCAUCUCCCAGGGCACCUGGCAGCCAUUGUGGCCAAACAGGUACCACUGGGCCAGGAGGUAAUGGUCACUUGCUGUGAGAGCAUCAACGUAUCGGGCAAUUUCCACAGAAACAAGUUGAAGUACCUGGUCUCUUUCUGCAAGAGAAUGAUCGCCAGCCCAUCCUUUGGCCGCUACCACUUCUUUGCCUCCAGUUAUUCUUUAUGAAGGUGCGAGGCAGACUGUCUCCAAUACCAAGGGAGGCCAGGCUGCCCUAAGCACCUCAAGGUGUUCAAUGGGCCCCACUGCCCUACAACAAGAAGAAGCAGAGGGUCAGUUCCUGCUUCCCUCAAGGUUGUACAUAGGUAGCCUGCAGGAAAGUUUGCCUGAACCGGGCACCUGGCUCUCAAGGCUGGCUGGAAGAACCAGGCGAUGACAGCCACCCCGAAGAAGAGGAAGAAGGCCACAGUCCAUUAUCUGAAGGAAGAGCAGCUCACAAGACUAAUGAAACAGGCCUGAAAGAAGGUUGAGAAGAAAACUGACAAAUAGACAGAGGUCCUCAAGACUCUCAGACUCUGGUCUGAGUCUAAUAAAGACUGUUCAUUAAGACUGUUCAUUAAAAAAAAUCCAUAAUUUACACAUAUUAUUUUUAUGAUUAGAUGAUGAAAUGCUAUUUUGUACAUUAAUAAAUUUAACUUGGGGCAUGCCUUGCUGGCUCAGUUGGUAGAGCAUGCAACUCUUGAUCUUGGGGUUCUAAGUUUGAGCCCCAUGUUGAAUGUGAGAUUACUUUAAAAAAAUCUUUAAAAAAAUUUAAUUUUUAAGACUACGACUGUAACAUGCAGGGUCCUCUGAAAAGCAGGGUUCAGGAUGGGAACUCCUCUUACUACAAUUAAAGAGUAUCCUGACUUGGAGACAUUUCCUAGGGAAGUGACAACAUGAAGGCUUAGGGCUGGGAAUAGGCAGAAUUUUCCUUUUAGCUUCGUUUUAAUGUAUGCCUUUCUUUUGUGUGUCCAUGACAAAUCAGACACCUCCAUUCCCCAGCAAAUUUCUUUUUUAAAAAAAUAUUUAUUUAUUAAUUUAUUUAGAGAGAGAGAGCAUGGGAGCAGGGGAGGGGCAGAGAGAGAGAAUCCCGAGCAGGCUCCAUGCUGUCAGCACAGAGCCCGAUGCAGAACUUGAUCUCAGGAACCGUGAGAUUGUGACCUGAGCUGAUAUCAAGAGUUGGACGCUUAACUGACAAGCCACCCAGACGCCCAGCAAAUGUCUUCAUGUGUAGAUUUUUUUAGACAAAAGCCCUUUUCUAUCUUGUGUUCCCUCUUGGGACCCCAUUUUCACCUGUUGAAAACAUACCUGUCUUUUAGGGUCUUGCUUGAAGGCCUUCUUAAUGAUACCUUUCCUAAUCUUGGAGACCGAAGCCCCUUUUUUGAGGCCCCCAUAGGUCUUUGUUUAAGCCAGACAAAUGCUUCUUGAAAACUAGGUUGGUGUAUAUGCCUUCCAGUCCUUCCUACCUCUUUGCAGAGGCUACAAAUAUAGUGUGUGGUUUAAGGAGACCAUGGAUUCUCCUUGCCUAGUAUCUCGCACCCUAGAGAGGUCCUGGGAGCCAGACUGAGGUGACUUCAGCCUCAUUAUUCCUGGGGGAAGUGGAGAGUUGGUUUCCAGAAAGCCAAUGUUUAUUUAUUUUUGAGAGAUAGAGAGAUGGAGCGUGAGCGGGAAAUGGGCAGAGAGAAACAGAAUCCAAACUAGGUUCCAGGCUCUGAGCUGUUAGCAUGGAGCCCGAUGCAGGACUCCAACCCAGGAACCACGAGAUCAUGACCUGAGCCAAAGUUGGAUGCUCAACCCACUGAACCACCCAAGCGCCCCAGAAGUCAUCACAUUCUAAAAGACCAGAGGAUCUUUCUACUCCUUUACCAGAGGGUACACACAAUGGACUGCAUCUGAAAAGGAACCACUGACUCCUCUCCAGCUCGGUCUUUGGGAUUUGGAUGCGGUUGACCCCACACUCAGGGUGAGUCCUGGUGGCUCCAGGCUAACUAUUGGCCCUAUUAUCCGGUAAGGUGGUGUGGUUGGUUUAGCUAAGGGUACUUGUCCCCAGGUGUAAACAGGCUCAAGGCUUUUGUGUCACUCUUGGGGAAGAGAAGCUUUCUCUGUCCACUGAGUUUGAAGCUGAGAGGAUUCAAGAACUUCUAUGGCAAGAACCACGUUAUGAUUGUCAGGGAGAAACUGAGGAGCAAGCAGAGCCAAGAGGACAAACCGGAUUCCAGGAGCACUGUUUCAGUUUGGUGAUGACCUUGGGUCAGAUCUGUCUUUGAAUAUUUUAGGUUAUGGGAGCCAAUAAAUUCCAGUUUUGAUUUCAACAUUUUGGAUAAUUUAAAGUCCCUCGAACAAAAAGUCUCUUAAACAGUACACAGCAGGGCUAUGAGGGAGAGGGACCUGGGAAAGAAGAACUUUAACAGCAGCUGGUGAGUUGGUAAGUUAUCCUGUUUGAGCAGGUGCAGUGGGUGCAACUUAGAUGAUGUGUGACAACCUCACAUAACAUGUGAGCAUCUACGAUUUCUGGCCUGUCAGCCCAACACUGUGGCUGAUAUUGGCAAAUCGAGUUUAAGAAGCUACCAUGAUGAGAAAGAAUAAUUUGAUUUAAAAAUUAUCUGUGAGUGCGCAAGGUUGAUUCCAAAAACCUGCCAGGGAAAAUCAAAGCAUAAGAAAUCUUUUGAACUGGAUAAUACAUGCUUUCUUUUCCAUUACCCACUUUGGCACAGAUUCAAAGUUUCUCACUCAUAUCCAUUUUAAAGCAACUGUGUGAGCAAGUCAGUACAAUGUGAGGUGUCUCAGAAUCCUGGAGACAGUUUGGGAGACAGUCACCUGGGGAUAUAUCGUCUAGGAACCACUGAGCCCUUGAAUGAACAGGAAAUUAGACAUGUCGGGAGAUGAGUAAUCUGAAGCUUUUCCACAUUGGCCUGCUCCAAGGAUGUGCAGCUGAGGUGAAUAUUAACACCCACAGUGACUGACUCCACUCCUUCCUUCCUUCCCCAAAUAUGUAGAACACAUACUAGGUACCAGGAGUUGCCAGAUACAAGGAUAGCUGGUUAACAAAGCACUUGCCAUGCCCUUGAGCAACUUAUCGUCCAGUGAGAAAGACAGACACGUGAGUGCUAAAAGUAAUUUACAGGGGGACUUCCAGAAGUAGAAAUGUAAACUUAGUAUUUGUGUGUUUCACUGAGUGUAAAUUAUAUCUCAAUUUUUUUAGGUGAGGGGGAAAAAAAGAGGAAUCACUUGAAAGCACUGGCAAUCCAGGCAGGGAGUUGUCAGACCACCAAUAUAGAAAUGAUUUGUGACAGAUAUAAGGCAGAUGUGAUCAGAUUAAUAAAAAUGUGAAAGAGCCAAUGUACCUACACCCCCAUAAAGGUAGAAAGAGAGGAUCUCCAAAAAAGUGUACUUUCUGUUUAAAACUCCAGAAUAGCUCCAAGUGCAGAGACAGCAGGGACCGGGAGAAGGAACUGGUAUGACGAUGGUAACUAAUUCAUGAGCUGUAAACAUCCGUGCUUUGAAGUGGCAAGUUUAAAAUUUUUUCCUCAAGUGAAAAUUUGGAGUAAAGCUUAUUGCUUACCAAAUAAGAGGAGAGUCAUGAGGGGCGGCUGGGUGGUUCAGUCAGGUAAGCGUGUGACUGUGGCUCA